AGGCAGCCUGGGACCGGCCCACGGAGUUGCAGCCGCCCAUCGCUCCCUCCUUGCGGACAUCAUGCUCCAGUUCCUGAUACCAAACCUGGCUAAAAAACUUGAAGACAUUAAAAAGGACCUGGAUGCCAAGAAGAAACCCCCUAGUUCAUGAGGCCGACUCCAGCCCUGCCUUCUGGAUUCUACUAUUGUCGAGGGCCUCCUUUACUCUGAACCAAAAGCUUUUGUUUUAAUUUCCAGCCUCAGCAGUUUUCUUCAUUGUGUUGCCUUAGAGCACAAAUGGGGCCACAAGUUAAGAACUACCCUUAAUUUUCCAACAGCAUCACUUCUUCCCUUGCUCCUUCCAGCCACUUGGGAGGCCCUGAAACUGGAAUUAUGGUGCUAGAUUAGUAAACAUGACCUUUAAUUAGUAGUCUCUCCCUUUUUCUUUGGAAUUUCUAUUACCUUUUUUCAAAAGAAAAAUUGAUGAAUUUUGUAUAGCAGAUGAGAUAUAAAUAAUGCUGAUUUCACAUUCUAGCAAUUAUAUAAAGAGUAUUUAAACAUUCGGUACUUAAUUAUGUUAUUUCAAAAUAGUAGUUAAAAUCAAGAAGCCAGUUCCUGGUGAAUUAUCCAUUGUUGUCAGGAAGCUGCAUAGUUGCUAUUGUAACCACUAUAUCAAUUUGCUAUUCAUUAACCAAGAAACAGUGUUCUGAGAACCCUGAGAACUUACAAAUAUUUAAAAUAAUGGCCGUUGUCCUCAAUAGUAUUCCUAGUCUAAUAUUCAUGUUGUUUUUUAAUGAUGUGUUUGAUCUGGUUCUUUUCCCUCGUAAGAAUCAUACUUUAUAGGAUAACAGGUGCAUGUGACAUUACCUGGUGGAUAAAUGAGAAGUUGAUUAUAAAGGAAGUUUUAUGCCUUUUUAUAUUUAAAAAAUAUGUUUACAUUAUAACUUUAUAGUGAGCCCCUGAGUGAGUGGGUUAAGGAUCUGGCAUUGCUCAGUCUCAUAGGAAGCCUUUUUGUGUUUUUUUCCUGCAAUCAGAAAUUGCUCUCUUAGUUUGUCAAAUGUAUAAUCAGUCCACAUUUUUUUAAGUGAAAAAAAUUUAAAUAGGUAACUUCCCCUUGGGUCAGUACAAAAGUGAUUUAGAAUUAAGGACUUCUCCCACCCCUGUCCUGCAGCUCCUAGUUCCUCUUCCUGGAGUCAGGCACUGUUGCCAGUUUUUUUGAAAAAGAUUCUGUCCCUAAACAAACAUGUUCAUGAGGGUUUUUAUACAAAUAAUAACAAGCUAUAUACAGAAUUUUCCUCAGUGGAGAUCAUUCCAUAUCCAUAUGUAAGGAACAAAAAACCUCUUCCCCUUUUGUGACUGCAUAAGGUUCUGUUGAAUGAAUAUGCUGCAGUUGAUUUAGUCAACUCCUGGUGAACAUUUAGGUUGUUUCCUGUCUUUUGUUAUUAUGGUGAUAACCUUAAACCUAAUAUUGUUAUGCAUAUCUGUGCCAGGGAUAGCGCCAAGCUAAAGCCCUAGAAGUGUAGUUUACCCUGUAGUUUCUAGGGCUUUACCAAGCUAAAGCCCUCAAAGUAUAGUUUGUUGGGUAUCAGCUUCACUGAUAAUGCCAUUCCUGGAAACAUUUUAGCAGAAUCAGUAAACUGGAAGGAUGAUUUAGAGACACCUUUUUUUCAGACACUGAUGGCACUGACAGUAAAUGUGAUUAUACAGUGAGGUGAUUCUACUUUUCUUUGAAAUUGUGGAUCUUUCAAACAUGGAGAUACAUUUUGUCCCUGUCAGGUUGUCCUGGUUCAUGAGACAAAUUAGGACCUUAUUAUAGUUUGUCUUCUCCUCAGACAGAGUGUGAUCAGGGGCAAGUGGCUUAUUUCUCCAAAACUGUUGUUUUCUCUUUAAGAUGUGGAUGCAGUACCUACCUCAUAGGGCUUCCAUGAGAAACUGUUGAGAUAACAUACGUGGUGUGUAGCACAGUGCUUUGCAGAUUGUCCAAUAAAUAGUAGAUAUUAGUUGGAACGUGCUGCCUUUGGUUAGAAUACUUUUUUCUGCACUCACUUCUGGAACCAGUUUAUGAACCAUGCAAAAUGUGUCAUUCUCUUUGUAAAAUGAAAAUCUAUAGUAUCCACUGUGAUCAUACCACCUGGCUUACCAGGUUUGAUCUUAAAUGACUGAAUUGUUAGCAGAAUGAACUACAGCCUUGAAGGAUAAUGGUUUACCAUCUUGAUAGGUAUUCAAACUUUCACAAGCUUAGAAAGCUGUUUUCAAAGAGGGAUUCAUUGUUAUCAGCCAUGGAGCCUUGAUGCUUGUGUGUGUAUGGUCUCCCAGGUGGCUUCUUUGGGGAUGUGAGUCACUUAGAUGUUGCAUGAUGAGGUCUCUAUAAUUGUACUUGUAAAUGAGGCACGAUUGGACUUGGAGCUUCCCCUGGGGAGUGACACUUAACCUUGCUGACGGGAUCAUCUCCACCAGUGGGAGCCACCCAGCUAAUCACCUUAAACGUGUGAACAGCAACACAAAGAGUGCAGGCCAACUUCAUGGUCACCAUUCAGAUUCCCUCUCCCAUUUCAGGCUCUUGCAGGAGUGAAAGGGAUCUGGAGUUCUCAGGCAGGAUUAUCUUCACGGAGACAUAUUGUUGGGGGACCUAGAACCAUUAUGGGUUUUAGGCGGUGUGGUGGUUGUGAUCGUGGUACUCAAAGUUAACAUUCUCUGGGUGUUUUGUAGAGGUCCCUGCAGAGGGGUGGGAAGAACUACUGCAAGACAUGCCUUUUUUUUUUUCCUUUAAAAAAAUCUUGAGGAGUUCCUGUUGUGGGACAGUGGAAAUGAAUGCGACUAGUAUCCAUGAGGAUGCGGGUUUGAUCCUUGGCCUCCCUCAGUGGGUUAAGGAUCUGACAUUGCUGUGGGCUGUGGUGUGGGUUGCAGAUGUGGCUCGGACCCACAUAGGCCAGCAGCUGCAGCUCCUAGUGGACCCCCAGCCUGGGAACUUCCAUAUGCUG
ensembl:lncRNA